GUCACUACAAAUAACUCAAUUUCAUUUCUUUUUAUGGCUGAGUAAUAUUCCAUUGUAUAUAUGUGCCACAUCUUCUUUAACCAUUCAUCUGUCGAUGGACACUUAGGUUGCUACCAUGUCCUGGCUAUUGUAAAUGGUGCUGCAAUGAACACUGUGGUACAUCUCUUUUUCUAAAUUAUGGGUUUUCAGGGU